rnacentral:rRNA from 1 species
AUUGAACGCUGGCGGCAGGCCUAACACAUGCAAGUCGAACGAGUGGCGGACGGGUGUGCAAUGUCUGGGAAACUGCCCGAUGGAGGGGGAUAACAACUGGAAACGGUAACUAAUACCGCAUAUCAUCGGAUGUGCCCAGAUGGGUGUGGCUAGGAGGUGGGGUAACGGCUCCCCUCGGCGACGAUCCCUAGCUGGUCUGAGAGGAUGACCAGCCACACUGGAAUGGAGACACGGUCCAGACGCCUACGGGAGGCAGCAGGGGGGAAUAUUGCACAAUGGGCGCAAGCCUGAGGCAGCCAUGCGGGGGGUAUGAAGAAGGCCUUCGGGUUGUAAAGUACUUUCAGCGAGGAGGCGUUACUCGCAGAAGAAGCACCGGCUAACUCCGUGCCAGCAGCCGCGGUAAUAC